AUGCCAACCUAUUACUCGGACCAAAUCUUGUCUAGCCACUUGGAUCGACGACGCUCAGUUUUGACUUCCCGCAUCGACUCCGCCACCUUCUCUAGGACACCUUCCACGGCGACGUCGAAUGCGUCCUUGACUGUCUCGAGCGAGUACCUCGGGUCAGCGUACACCAGGCUCGGCACGAGCCUGAUGACCUCCUCCUGCAUCCUCCGCACCGCCGCUCGCGGUAUCCUUCUCAGCGUGUCCUCGAUGCUCACGUUCCCGACGCGCACGGCGUCGUCCGGUAUGAACACCGAGUACCUGGCGUGGUCCUCCGGCAGGUGCCACCGGUACUGGAGAUAG
rnacentral:rRNA from 1 species